CCAAACCAGAUUGCCUCGCAUCCUCCUCUCCUUUUCCUCACUAUAGCAGAGGAAAUGUGAUGAGUAUUUAUCACUUCAAGCAAUUCACCAUAAUGAAAUAGAAACAGAUAAUUAUGAUGAGCCCAUCACCACAAAAAUGAGUAGUACAGUGUGGUAUGAGGUAUAAGGAGUUAGCAUUCUGUCAUUUUAUUUUGUGCUUUAAAACGAUGUAAUAAAUUGGGACAAUAUUUAGUAUCAUGCAAAAGAAACCUCUACUAUGAUUGUUUGAUUCACCAUGAGCAGACUUAUGGUAAUGACGAUGGAAACCAUGAGCAGAGCAAAAAACAUACCCUGAGCAGAGGCAGAGCAAACCAGAGCUAAAGGACGCAAAUCAGCAGAGAGGUAGCUGGAAACUGGAGAGCCAUCACUUCCUGGCUAAAAGCUUCAUCUUCCUUGUGUCACAUGAAUUGUGCAGCUGAAGGAGCAACUACUCUUCAAUCAUCUCUCUAACAGAGAGAAAAAUGAAGUGGUGCAUAAUCAACACAUGCAAAUCAAGCUUGAGCUAGGAGGAGAAAGAUUAUGAAAUCUGAAUCGUUAUGGACUAACUGUUCAAUUCGAGCUUACCAAACUGAAAGGAUAUGAUGCAGAGACAGAGGAGGAGGAUGAAAACGCAAGGAGCAGUUCCUACUGAAGCAUCCUCUCUGUUCCUCCUCUUAUCGGCAUCACUUGAACAUCGAGAAAAUGAAUUCUCUGGCAGAAAAUAGUGGACAAACUAUAGAACAGAUAAAUGUGUGACAACCACACAAUCACUGAAAACCAACAGAUCACACGUUAACUCCUGGAAAAAGUGGAGACACUAGAAAAUGAAUUCUCUAGCAGAAAACAAGUGCAUGAUCAACGAAAUGAGAAGAAAUAGGUGCAUGAUGAAGACACGUAUAUGAAGCGUGACUUAGGAAGAGAGACAGAGGAAAGAAAACAUCUGAACCCUUUAUGGACCAGACAAUCAAUUUGAGGUUACCAAAUUAAACAACGCAGAAACAGAGGAGCCAGUUGAAAACCCAAAUAGCACUUCCUACUCAACCAUCAUCCCUGUUCCUCCUCUUAUUGACAUCACUUGAGCAGCGAGAAAAUGAAAUCGUGCAGGAAGUUUGUAUGUAGAUUCACCAAUACUUCCCCCUUGCAACAGCGUUGGAUCUCAUUGAUCAGAAAAGCUUGGAAUUUCAGUGCAGCGGCAAGUGCAAUGACCUAACCUUGUAUAAGAAGAUGCAGAUAUGUCAUUGUUGAACAGGUCAUCUGUGGUUGGCGUCGGCGGCCGAGCGGGUCAAGGUCUCCGUCCUCUAGCAUGGGGAAGGGGCCAUGUAGCGUCGUCUAGCCAGUGACAUGCAACUGUAACGAUGGCACGUUACACCUAACAAGGGUAUUGAAAUCUGCCUAAUCUCCAUGCCCAGACACAAGGUCAAGGUCUGUGGUAUGGCCAUCGCUGUCAAGUGUGGAAGGUGAUUGACAAACAAUUGCAACGUCCCCUUGUUCAGACAGCAGUACUACACAGGCAGUCUGAACUUGUAUAGGAAUUGUGGCAUUUUCUGGCCCGAUUUUGAAACCCAAAUUGCUGUACGAUGAAAUGAACAAAAGCACUGAACAGUCAGGCCCCUGCAAAUUUUUCCAGGAUAUUUACUUUAUUCAUUCAAUUCCACUUUGCUGAGUGUUUUUUUCUCUUUUGCCGAGGGCCAAAAUUUGCCAAGUGCCUUUGGAUAUUUUUGUCGAGUGUAAGUCUUUGCUAAGUGUUUCCACUAACAACACCGGGCAAACAUACUAACGGAUGUACACGUGGCACGUUCUUUGCCGAGUGUCCAUGCGCGUUUUUGCCUAGUGUCUUUUGAUCUGUUUACCAUGUGUCGCGUUGUUUGCCGAGUGUUUUUGUGUUGACACUCGACAAAUAGCUUCUUUGCCGAGUGCUUGAUAGAAUACACUCGGCAAAGAACUUGGCACUCGGCAAACCCACAAUUUCCAGUAGUUUUGGGAGAGGUUCUUCACGUCAGGGAGCUCAAAAACGUGUCACUUUUUAUCUUUGAAUAAGAAACCUGUGACAUUGAAUGUGGCUUUAAAGAGUAAGCUGCAAAGUGGAAACUGCUUCCGAUAAAAGUAGUUGGAACUCUUUUUUUAAAAAAAAAGCAUUAUGCUGGAAACAUAUAAACAGAAAUGAGUACGAUUUCACCCAUAUUACGUGUAAGUUGCAGGCACCGGCCAAGAUAUGAUUUUAACCUGCAUUUCUUGUCGCUACUACAGAAUGAAUCUGCCUCGCAUUUCUCCUUGGUUGGUUCACAGAAGAUGCAUGACUAAAAUAAGUAAGAGCAGUUUUUUUUAUAUACAUUAAUGUUGGUAGGAACAGCGAAACAAGAGCUCACUUUUCCUAGCAGCAACAGAAAGCACGCAACAGCCGAUGCAGUUCUUCGCAUUACAAGAUCACAAUCUACAACAGGUGCAAGUUCAUCACAGAAUUAAUUGAGAAACUCAAGUAGCAGUGUAGCACACGUUUUCAUUCAUACAUACACCACAAGGAUGGUCAAACACUUAAAUAACAAGACGCAAGCCUUCCCACAGUCUAGAAACAAGAGAGGAAGCCGUCUGCUCAUCUUGAUUAAUUGCUGUGGUUAGCUCAUAUUUUAUUCUUUUUAUUGAUGGAAGUGGUUUGCUCAUCCUGAUUGCUGUGGUUCUUGAACAAUCAUUCUCCAGUCCUUCAUCCAGAAGCAUGCACUCCUUCCAUGCAUACAACGUCAUGUAGCUUCACGACCAAUCACAUGAUUAAGGAAAGAUAGCUCCAGUCACUUCCAAUGGCAAGAAAACAGAGCACGAAUGGAAAGCGGAGGAGAAAUAAAUAUGCAAAAUAUCCAGUGAAUGGUCAUACCUUGCACAUUCGUAGCUAUAUAAAAGUAUCACUCCUCCCAAGGGUAGACAUCCAGGUCUUCUCCGUGCAGCUGUUGGUGACGCUCUUGGAGUCCAGCUAGCCAUUGUGAGGAGACAUCUUCCAUAUCCUCUGUCAGAAACAGCUGGUGCAACUUGUCCAAACCCUCAACACACCUCAGAGCUUCACAUAGACCUACACGCAACAGUUUCAUCUGGGGAAUAUUUGAGAUCCUCUCCAGGCAUUCACAAUAUGAGACUGAAAGUUCCUCAGACAGAAAUGGGAAGUUCUCCACCACCUUAAUAUUGUCCAUGAAUUUUAAUCGGAGCUCCUUCAAGCUGGUGGCUUCCUGUCCAAGCUGCCGUGGAAGAGCUCUCAGCUUGGGGCAGCUGUAAAAAUCCAGGCCCUUCAAACGUGGCAGCAGCUGCAUCCUUGGAGGUGGGGCUUCCCCCUUUUGCUUUGCAGCAGCUCCAUCCUCUCCACCUUCCUUACCUGCUGCCGUUGCUUCUUCUUCUUCAACUACAAAGGUCCACUCCUCCCAGUUGGGCAUAUACCCGAUGGACAAAAUUUCAAGCUUGGGGAAAGCAACUGCCUCUGGAGAUCCGAAAUUACCCACCCCCAAGCCAAUAAAUUCAGGUCCAAUCUUGGUGACUGCAGUUGCUCCCUGGAUUCUCAGGAAUUUCAAGUUGGGAAGGUGCCCGAUUGGAGGAAGUUGCGUAUAGGAUUUGCAAUGUUUAAGUAUCAAGUAUUUUAGUGAAGGCAAAUGUCUAGCAGCACCUAACCAGGUAGGAAACCUCCGACCACAAAAUCGCUUCAAAACUAGAGCUUCCAGGUUUUUUGGAGGUAUUAGCUGAUCAAAUACCUUCUCAAUAUUACUAAUAACCUCUUCAGAGUAUGGUUCCUCCGCACAUUCAGUGCAAUAUAAAUAUAAUUCUUUAAGAUGCUUUUUAUUAGUUAGUAGUGAAUCUAUACUGCAAACAGCAGAUGCUUCCAAUUUUGUAAUAAGAAGCUGCCUCAACUGCAAAAGAGGACCCAACUCUUCUAGAUUCCAUCCAUCUUGCAUUGCAGUGCUAUAAUCACUUCUACCACAAAUUGGAAAUCCAUCUAAAUUAUUGAGGUAUUUCAAACCCCCAAUACCUUUUGGAACCUUAUUUAUUGCCGAACCUUUGAGACCAAGACUCCUUAAGUUAAAUAAUCUACAGAUUGCUAAAGGAAGGCUGUGCAAACUGUCACACUUGUUCAAUUCCAAUACCUCAAGGUUUUUGAGAGAACCAAUAGACUCCGGAAGGCAAGUUAUGCUGGUGUCAUUAAGAUUCAACAAGCGCAAAUGAAUCAAACUUCCAAUAUAAUCUGGAAUAUUUUCUACACUUGACCCACUUAAAUCCAAAACACGAAUAUAUGGAAAUCGCUUGAAAAUUGAAGAUUCAACUACCAAUGACUUGCCACAGAAAUUUAUUGAAGUUCUCACUUUGAGUUGAUGCCUGUCCACAAUAGGUAAAGAGAUCAUAUCAUUGCAUGUUACAACUGACACACGUCGCAAUUUAGAUAUACUCCUGCAAUCCAACGAUCGUGGGUCUCCAAAGAAACACUCUUCUCUUGAUAAAUGCUGAGCAAGUUGUCUUAAGAGGUCAUGCAUUGUGCACCUGUAUGGUUCUGCAUACCGAGGAUCUGGUAGGAGGAGGUUCCUUGAGACCAACUCACAGAAGUAUUCUUCUGCUGUAUCUUCUAGUAGUUGGUUAUUUUGCUUUUCAAUAAAGCCCUCGGCAAUCCAGAGCCUGACAAGAUCAUCACAACGUAGUGUCCAAUCUUCAGGAUACAAAGCACAGUAAAGAAAACAUUGCUUCAGGUUUUGUGGUAGCUGAUCAUAACUCAAGUACAAAGCACCUCUGAGUUCAGCAGGGAGCUUACUUAUGGACCAAGCAUCAUUGUCUAGAAUCUUCUGCCAUUCACUCUCUGUUGUCUCCUUCACUGCAAGAACACUAGCCAUAGUCCUAAUUGCAAGAGGAAGGCCACCACAUUUUCGAACAAUUUCCAUUCCUUUGUCCUGCACGUUGUGCACUUCUUUCUCAUCAGAUAUGUUCAUACUCUUCCAAAGCAGCUCCCAUCCUACUUCCACUGACAUCAAUUCGACUCGAUGCAUGUGUUCCACUCCAAUUGCCUUUGCAACUGUAUCAUGUCGAGUUGUUGUUACAAUUGUUACUUGAGCUGCAGCAUUGAGUGGAGUUCUUAGUAAAUUGGUCCAUACAUCAGACUCCCACAAGUCAUCCAACACAAGGAAAAAGCUGUCUCCUUCAAUGGCUUCUGCAAGUUUGGCUUGAAGCUCUCCGAUGCUUUCACAAUUUUCUUUGUCCACUCCAACAUUUCGAAGUAUUUCAUUCAAUAGAGCAACUUGAGAGUACUGUUGGGAAACGCAAAUCCAUGCAUACUUCUUAAAGUUACCCUUCACUCUUUGAUCAUUGUAUAUUUUCUGAGCUAGUGUUGUUUUUCCAACUCCUCCUGUUCCAACAAUUGCCAUCUUGUAAGCCUUCUUGUCCUUGUGUUCUAGCACCAACCCUACCAAUCUAUUGGUAGCAUGUAUGAUCUCUUUUCCAACAAGAUUUGGUUCUACCAGGUGGGAUGUUUUUCUCAUAUUUGAUACUAAUACUCUAUCAAUAGGUUCUGUUUCAAACUUGAAAUUUGUACCUAACUCUUUAAUCAUCUCUAUUCUUUUGUUGAGGCCUCUAAUCUGUACCGCAAUCUCAUGACGUGUCUUUAGAUUCAAAAAGCAAGAGAAAGUUGCAAAUCCAUUGCAUGUAAUUAAUUUUCUUGAUAAUGAUGAAGAGUUUUCUCCUAGUAGAUUGCUCCCUUUAAACCUGACCAUGUCAAUUAUAUCAUCAGCAUCAUACAUUGCAUCCUUCAGCUCACCAAUCCAAUUACUAACUGCUAAGUCUUCAAUCCUCCUCCGGUCAGCAUCUUUCAGAAAACACUGUAUUUGUGUCAUUGUUCGUUGCAGGUCACUAAGCUCUUGUUUAACACCUAGUAUCUGUAUCGCUUCCUCUAUAAUAAGUUCUUGGAGCUUUUGGAUGCAUGAUCCCGCAAAAGAAAAUAAUAUGGUUGCCAUUAGGUGAAUCCCUGAAGCAGACCCACCACCACCAAUAUAUCUUUUCAGAGCUAAGAAAACCAGUAAUAUGAGGGACUAGCUAGUGAGUUUCCUUGAGCAAGCUUUCACAGUGUUAUUCCAUAAACGAUUGAACUUGGACCUGAAAUUUAUAAAGUUUACAGCAGUAUGUCAAAUCCGUACGCACUUGAAAGAUGUACAACACCACAUGCUCCUAUGAGUACUCAUUAUAUUCUGUAAACUACUACUUGACAUAAUCUCACACUGAUUGCGAAGAGAAUAAAGGAUAUGUAAAUGAUGAAAGCACCUAGGAAAAAUUCACACCAUGCACUAUCGGGCAGAUAGACAAAACCAUCUUGGGUGGACUUAGGUGCAUCCAUCCAUGAGUUUUAGACUCCCUUAUGCACUAUGUUCCAGACUAAAACCCAUGUAAUGGAUCUUUGAUUUCCUUUCACACUAGCCAUUUGUGGAUAUUAUUCUUGUUUUUUGUGCAUUUAUAACUUCAUCUACAAUAAGGACUGAUUGCUAUGCAAAUAGGUCUAUCCUGCUAGUAGAUAGCACCUAGCCUUCCGGAACUCAGGCUUCUGCUUGUAGUUGACUGAGUUUACAUGUUUUUGCUUUGACUUGCCAUUAUAUCUGUAUGUGGAAAGUAUACUCCUUAUUUUUUCAGUGUAAUUGUCUCUUGUGUGCACAUUUAUUUCUGACUUAAGCGCUAGUUCCUGCUCAGCUAAAUAGAAAGAUAAACAUCAAAUGACUCAAACUGACUGAUUUGCAUAUUCUAGCAAUGUUUCCUUUCUAGCAACCUAACUGGUCACAUAUUUCCAUGCUCACAUAUUUCCAACCCUCCUCUCAUACUAAAAACAGCUUUAAAUUUUCAAGAGUUGGUCGACUCAUUUAGCUUCUUUCAUCCAUAAAUCUACUCCAGAAAAUCUGACCUUUCAAGUGCUAGUAAUGUUACAUUGCAAGUCAAAAGAAUAUAGGAGGCUGCAGGAUUUCAUUUCCAUGAAUGAGAAAUGGACGUAACUUGUAACAAUUCUUGGAAGAAGUUAGAAGAUUCCAGUGCGCUCAAGUGCACAAGCCUUACCUGAAUCAAAGACCUAUUUUCAACAGGCCUGACUGACAAUAGAAGUCAAGGAUGCAAGAUCAUCCACCAGCAGCAACAACAGUUUGUUUCUGAAGGUCAACUCAAUACUGAAGGAAGAGGAACAAAGACUAAUUGCUCAAAUAAUAUCCCUCAAUGAACUGAACAUCGAUAGCCAAUAUGUGGUCGUCACCAUGAAAGAGUCACGAUUACUCUGCUUGAAAGGGAAAGAAAAAUGGAUAAAACUGAGAAGGGUAGUUGAAUUGAGAAAUAAAGAAUCUCUGGAUAGUACGGACCUUUGUGCACUACCAGAACUGCAAGCAGAUGACCUUAUUCUUCCUUGACUGGAGAAGACCCAGAGGAUCACUUCAAGCAGCAGUGUGAGGCAGUAAAUUCGACAGAAUUCACAAUGGUAUCCCUCGAAAAAAAAAUAUCAACCGACAAUGAUACACGCCUGCAACUGCAACACAAGUUUGUGAGACUACUGACACUUCGUAACUAUGAAUUAAUCUUAAUGGAACACAUUGUGCUAACCAAUUAAUAGGCAGAUACGGAAUGAAGGAAAUACACCUCUUUCAAAGACAGUACUGUCUCCCAAACCAGAUUGCCUCGCAUCCUCCUCUCCUUUUCCUCACUAUAGCAGAGGAAAUGUGAUGAGUAUUUAUCACUUCAAGCAAUUCACCAUAAUGAAAUAGAAACAGAUAAUUAUGAUGAGCCCAUCACCACAAAAAUGAGUAGUACAGUGUGGUAUGAGCUAUAAGGAGUUAGCAUUCUGUCAUUUUAUUUUGUGAUUUAAAACGAUGUAAUAAAUUGGGACAAUAUUUAGUAUCAUGCAAAAGAAACCUCUACUAUGAUUGUUUGAUUCACCAUGAGCAGACUUAUGGUAAUGACGAUGGAAACCAUGAGCAGAGCAAAAAACAUACCCUGAGCAGAGGCAGAGCAAACCAGAGCUAAAGGACGCAAAUCAGCAGAGAGGUAGCUGGAAACUGGAGAGCCAUCACUUCCUGGCUAAAAGCUUCAUCUUCCUUGUGUCACAUGAAUUGUGCAGCUGAAGGAGCAACUACUCUUCAAUCAUCUCUC
rnacentral:lncRNA from 1 species